AAUGCACCAAUUUGUAAGUCGCUCUGGAUAAGAGCGUCUACUAAAUUAUGUAAA
rfam:Salmo salar isolate Sally breed double haploid chromosome ssa05, whole genome shotgun sequence.